rnacentral:rRNA from 1 species
UACAGAGGGAGCAAGCGUUGUUCGGAAUUACUGGGCGUAAAGGGCGCGUAGGCGGUUCGAUAAGUCCCGUGUGAAAUCCCUCGGCUCAACUGAGGAAUGGCACGGGAAACUGACGGGCUUGAGUUCGGGAGAGGGAAGCGGAAUUCCGGGUGUAGCGGUGAAAUGCGUAGAUAUCUGGAGGAACACCGGUGGCGAAGGCGGCUUCCUGGACCGACACUGACGCUGAGGCGCGAAAGCUAGGGGAGCAAACGGG